UUUUAAUAUAUCUAGUUUUUUAAGAAAUUAAUUUAAUUUAGGUAUUUUAUUUUAAUUUUUUAUUUUUUUUUAAAUAAUUAUAAUUAAAUAUUAAUAUUUUAAGGGAUGAGCUUUAAAAUAAAAUUUUAUAAAUAAUUUUAUUAAUUAAUAAUUGUAAGCUUAGAAUUAGUUAUCAAUAGAAAUUAUGUUUUAAUUUAUUUUAAUUUUAAUAUUAUUUAGUAUUUAUUUUAAAGAUUUUAUUAAAUUAUAAAUUUUAAUCUUAUAAAUUUAGAAAUAAUGAUAAAAUUAGUAAAUAAUUUUAAUUAUAUAAAUAUUUUUUUUAUUGAUUGGUUUUUUUAAUUAAUUCGGCAAAUUUUAUAUUCACCUGUUUAUCAAAAACAUGUCUUUUUAGUAUUUAAUAUAAAGUCUGGCCUGCCCACUGAAUAAUAUUUGAAGGGCCGCAGUAUUCUGACUGUGCAAAGGUAGCAUAAUCAUUAGUCUUUUAAUUGAAGGCUGGUAUGAAUGGUCGGAUGAGAUAUAAGCUGUGUCAAAAAAAUUAUUAUUUGAAUUUAACUUUUUAGUCAAAAGGCUAAAAUAAAUUUAAAAGACGAGAAGACCCUAUAGAGCUUUAUAUAAUAAAUAUUUAAGUUAUUAAGAUUUAUUAAAUUUAAUUUUUAUAUUGUAUUUUGUUGGGGUGACAAUAAAAUUUAUAAAACUUUUAUUUUUAUUUAACAUUAAUUUAUGAUUAUAUGAUCCAAUUUUAUUGAUUAUAAAUUUAAGUUACCUUAGGGAUAACAGCGUAAUUUUUUUUGAGAGUUCUUAUCGACAAAAAAGAUUGCGACCUCGAUGUUGGAUUAAGAGUAAUUUUGGGUGUAGAAGUUCAAAAUUUAAGUCUGUUCGACUUUUAAAUUCUUACAU
rnacentral:rRNA from 1 species